AGAGUUUGAUCAUGGCUCAGGAUGAACGCUGGCGGUCUGCUUAACACAUGCAAGUCGAACGGAGUAGAAAUACCUAGUGGCGGACGGGUGAGUAACGCGUGAGAAUCUGCCUUCAGGACGGAGACAACAGUUGGAAACGACUGCUAAGCCCCGAUGAACCGAAAGGGAAAAUAUUUAUAGCCUGAAGAUGAGCUCGCGUCCGAUUAGCUAGUUGGGGGGGUAAAGGCCCACCAAGGCGACGAUCGGUAGCUGGUCUGAGAGGACGAUCAGCCACACUGGGACUGAGACACGGGCCCGACUCCUACGGGAGGCAGCAGUAAGGAAUAUUGGUCAAUGGACGCAAGUCUGAACCAGCCAUGCCGCGUGGAGGAUGAAGGCCCUCUGGGUUGUAAACUUCUUUUAUAUGGGACGAAACCCUCUUAUUCUUAAGAGACUGACGGUACCAUAGGAAUAAGCACCGGCUAACUCCGUGCCAGCAGCCGCGGUAAUACGGAGGGUGCAAGCGUUAUCCGGAUUCACUGGGUUUAAAGGGUGCGUAGGAGGGCUGGUAAGUCAGUGGUGAAAUCCCCGAGCUUAACUUGGGAACUGCCGUUGAUACUAUCAGUCUUGAAUACCGUGGAGGUGAGCGGAAUAUGUCAUGUAGCGGUGAAAUGCUUAGAUAUGACAUAGAACACCAAUUGCGAAGGCAGCUCGCUACACGAAUAUUGACUCUGAGGCACGAAAGCGUGGGGAUCAAACAGGAUUAGAUACCCCCGUAGUCC
rnacentral:rRNA from 1 species